rnacentral:rRNA from 1 species
UACGUAGGGUGCAAGCGUUGUCCGGAAUUAUUGGGCGUAAAGAGCUCGUAGGCGGUCUGUCGCGUCUGCUGUGAAAACUCGGGGCUUAACCCCGGGCCUGCAGUGGGUACGGGCAGACUAGAGUGCGGUAGGGGAGACUGGAAUUCCUGGUGUAGCGGUGAAAUGCGCAGAUAUCAGGAGGAACACCGGCGGCGAAGGCGGCACUCUGGGCCGGUACUGACGCUGAGGAGCGAAAGCGUGGGUAGCAAACAGG